AUUGAACGCCGGCGGCAGGCUUAACACAUGCAAGUCGAGCGGAGCGAGGGUGCUUGCACCUUAGCUUAGCGGCGGACGGGUGAGUAAUGCUUAGGAAUCUGCCUAUUAGUGGGGGACAACAUUCCGAAAGGGAUGCUAAUACCGCAUACGCCCUACGGGGGAAAGCAGGGGAUCUUCGGACCUUGCGCUAAUAGAUGAGCCUAAUUCGGAUUAGCUAGUUGGUGGGGUAAAGGCCUACCAAGGCGACGAUCUGUAGCGGGUCUGAGAGGAUGAUCCGCCACACUGGGACUGAGACACGGCCCAGACUCCUACGGGAGGCAGCAGUGGGGAAUAUUGGACAAUGGGGGGAACCCUGAUCCAGCCAUGCCGCGUGUGUGAAGAAGGCCUUUUGGUUGUAAAGCACUUUAAGCGAGGAGGAGGCGCUCUAGGAUAAUACCCUAGAUGCGUGGACGUUACUCGCAGAAUAAGCACCGGCUAACUCUGUGCCAGCCGCCGCGGUAACAC
rnacentral:rRNA from 1 species